rnacentral:lncRNA from 1 species
AAUUGGUGUCAGUCGGCCAUAGGCCAUAGUCUUUUUGAUAUCCACUGCCCUCGUUGAUGGUUGAAAGUUUGGGUAACAAGUAACAGCCAUAAUACAACAUUAGCAAAAAAAAAAAAGGCAAUAUAUUCAACAGAAAGUGGGUACCAAAUUUCAUGUAAAACUGUUACAUUGAAUUAAUAAUCAUAGUAAUAAGAAUAAAUUGCACUCAUUACAUUUGGGAGUUCUUUGCAGUUCAUGGACUUCAUAUUCAAGUACAUCAUAGUAAUAAGAAUAAAUUGUACACUGCCCAGCAGUAAGCCAGCAGGCAGCAGCUAGAAAAUUUAGGGGUUGCUGAAAGACAGACUGGUAAUAGCAGUCUUCAUUGGAUCCAGUUUCCGGGCUGUUGAUUGACUUUGAUGAUCAGAAACAAAAGACUGGACAAUGAAUUAAAGAAAUUGUGAGAAAUAAGAGGCAUACAUAAUUGUGUUUCCCAAGUAUGCUUAGUUCAUUAAUUACGGUUUUGUGGAAUUUAACUUUUAUAUAAUCAUCUUAGUCAAUAUUUCAGCUCUCAUGUAUACUCUCAAAUGUUAGAUCAGUUCAAAAGGUUUGUCAAAAUGGUUUCCACCCUAAACAGAUGCCUUGCAACUAUUUGAAACUUGUAGGUUGUAAAAAAUUCUCCCCUUCAACAAGCCUGAGAUAUUCAACAACCAGUCUUGCUUGCCGUAAAGCAGAGAACAGGGAAAAGAUACCACAGCUUCUCAAAACAAUAUUCAAGUAUAGCGACUGCCUGUAGGCAUUGCCACAACCAGAGUAUCUUCUCCCAUUAUGAAACUAAACUCCAAAUUUAUCCAUCUGCUUGGGGGAAGUUCAAAUAAGCAUUGGUCAUUACCUUAGCAGAGUCCACAUAACUUCUUCCAACCAUAUUAUGAGUAGAAAAAGUGAAUGCAAAACUAAACUGAACAUGUUGAAUCCCUAAACAAUAGGAGAUGAAGGUAACAAGAGGUUUGAGAUUUUGAAAAGUAGGGUGGGGGGCUUCCCCUCUUUCUAUCUUGGCAUGCAGUUCUGAUCCUUGUCCAAAGCUGAGGAGAUUAAGGAUUUGGUGGGGAGGAAACCUGAGAGGAGAUUAGCAGUUGGAAAAAGCAAUGACUUAUACAAGAGGAAACUAACUCUCAUUUUAUUUUCCUUCUGAUGUUUUAUACAAAGAAUGAGACAAACUCUCACUAAAGAUACAACAUUGAACAUCCCUGCAUAUUUCAUGUAGUUUUUUCACCAUUCAUCCUUGGUGAGGGAGUGCUUGGGGAGGAAGAAAAUAUGGUUUAGUCAUUCCCCAUUAAGUGCAGGACCGCAGGUUAGUUGGAAAUCAAGAUGUUGGGUUUGUCUACUGGGUCUUGUCAGGAAAUGGCCGUGAAGGCUCACUGUUGAAAAGGAUUAGCCUAUGGAGACAGAUAGUGGCCGAGACAUGUACGAAGAAAAGACUUGACAGUUGGUCCACUAGGAGAGUGUGAAUUUUCAUGGUGUGAGAUUAUGGAUGGUAUUUAAGGAACAAGGGAAAUUCUAACUUGUGACUAUUGAAAGAGAAAAUGGUCUAAAGAUACAUUUUUCUGGAAAAUUCUGUGGAGUGGAAGGGGUGGACAUUGAGAAUGAGAUAGAAGGACUAGGAUCCACUGACGGCAAGUUGCUUAAGGUGCAACGACGAGGGACGACAGUUGGCAUUUUCCAGCCUGUGAGGAAUUUUUCAAGAUCAGGAGGUAGCAAUGAUGACAGCUUUCUUGGAAAAGAUUUAUGGGGUUUGAGGGAAGGAGGGUUUUCAUUAGGGGAACGUGGGAGGUUUCCAGAAGAGGAGUUCUUGGUUAAUUCUUGUACGGAACUUUUCUCAGGGUGAAGACAAGCAAUUUCCAAGGAAAUUGGGGUUAUCAAGAACUUACAGAAGUGGAUACUUUAAGCAGACAACCAUGAAGGAAACCAUAUUAACUAUGGAUAAGUCAGUAAAGAGGGGAAACAUCUCCCAAAUUGGUUUGCAUGCGUAAGGUUGAAAGGGGAUGGGGAAAGUUCUCAUUCAUUAAAACAUUGCAACAGAGCUUGAUGACCUUGAUGUUUCAUUUGUUUGGGGCAUGCUGGGAGAUAUCCUAAUUCAGGAAAAGGGCUUCUCCUAUGAUGAAGGGGACACAUUCCAGAUGAUAAUGGUGAUAAACUCUAAAAAAAAACAUGAAACACCACUUUUGCUCUUGUAAAUUAGUGAGCACAAGACAAAUUUAUACAUGCACAUACAUGCUUCUGCACGCUACCUCAUUAACAAAUAUAUCAACUAUAAAAGGAAAUUUCACAGCAAAAUUACAAGGCAGAGCUAACUAAAUACCGUUGCAUUUACUUGCAUCUGGACUGGAUAGCUUAUACGAGCAAAGGGGAUAAUCUGAAGCGUCUUAGGCUCCCAAGCACAAACCUACACUGGCCAAAAUUGCCUAAAAAACAUGAGGCGGAGAGCAAUGCUG